AUGAACGUGAAGUGGACAGUGAAACGAUUUGUUCUUAUGUCGUUAUCAGUCUCCCACCUGCUGUUACUUGAGGGAGCUCAGAGUCGACUUUCAGUGGCAGAAGGAAGAUCACAGAGAAGAGCUAAUGCACUUCGGAGGAAACGGGAUCUCCUUGGGGAGGAGACAUAUAGACCGUUGUUGUCAGAGGGCACUCUGUCACGCAGCAUUUUGCACAACUACACAGCCAGAGAUUCCUCUUCAGGUAAAAACACUAUAACCAAUGCUAUAACACUCCAUAAUCUUAGUAAAAUCAGAACAAACAAGUUUGUGUGUCUUUCCCAGAAUAUUGUGGCUGCCUUAAUGGUGGAUGGUGUCAGGAGGGCGGUGUGUGUGACUGUGUUCAGUUCCAGGCACUGGGAGAUCGCUGCCAAAUCAGUGAGUAUUGCUCUCACACUUGUAGUCUCCUACUUUCAUAUCUUCCCUUUGUGUCAGCUCAGAAUUCAUCACAUUUAUGCAAGCAGCAACCUCCGAGGCUGCCUGGCAUGUCUAAUAACAGUCACCUCUUUGAUAACAGAAUCAGACGCUCCAUUUUACAUGAACAAGCGCACGCAGGAGACUCUCCAGUCGGUCAACAAAUUCUAA
rnacentral:lncRNA from 1 species